UGGGGAAUAUUGCACAAUGGGCGCAAGCCUGAUGCAGCGACGCCGCGUGAGGGAUGGAGGCCUUCGGGUUGUGAACCUCUUUCGCCAGUGAAGCAGGCCUGUCCCUUGUGGGUGGGUUGACGGUAGCUGGAUAAGAAGCGCCGGCUAACUACGUGCCAGCAGCCGCGGUAAUACGUAGGGCGCGAGCGUUGUCCGGAAUUAUUGGGCGUAAAGAGCUCGUAGGCGGCUGGUCGCGUCUGUCGUGAAAUCCUCUGGCUUAACUGGGGGCUUGCGGUGGGUACGGGCCGGCUUGAGUGCGGUAGGGGAGACUGGAACUCCUGGUGUAGCGGUGGAAUGCGCAGAUAUCAGGAAGAACACCGGUGGCGAAGGCGGGUCUCUGGGCCGUUACUGACGCUGAGGAGCGAAAGCGUGGGGAGCGAACAGGAUUAGAUACCCUGGUAGUCCACGCCGUANACGUUGGGCACUAGGUGUGGGGGGCCUUUUCCGGGUUUUCCGCGCCGUANCUNACGCAUUAAGUGNCCCGCCUGGGGAGUACGGCCGCAAGGCU
rnacentral:rRNA from 1 species